UAAGGAAUAUUGGUCAAUGGACGCAAGUCUGAACCAGCCAUGCCGCGUGAAGGAUGAAGGUCCUCUGGAUUGUAAACUUCUUUUAUUUGGGACGAAAAAAGGGUUAUCUAACUCACUUGACGGUACCAGAUGAAUAAGCACCGGCUAACUCCGUGCCAGCAGCCGCGGUAAUACGGAGGGUGCAAGCGUUAUCCGGAUUCACUGGGUUUAAAGGGUGCGUAGGCGGGUAUGUAAGUCAGCGGUGAAAUCCCCGAGCUUAACUUGGGAACUGCCGUUGAUACUAUAUAUCUUGAAUGUUGUGGAGGUUAGCGGAAUAUGUCAUGUAGCGGUGAAAUGCUUAGAUAUGACAUAGAACACCCAUUGCGAAGGCAGCUAACUACGCAAAUAUUGACGCUGAGGCACGAAAGCGUGGGGAUCAAACA
rnacentral:rRNA from 1 species